rnacentral:lncRNA from 1 species
UCAGGGCGUGCGAUUAAGCUUUAUCCAACUAAGAUGAGCAAUCUAUGAAUCAAGGCAAACAUUUGAGAAUUAGUCUAUUGGUGGAACUGAGAAAGAAAACUCAUUCACAGGCUGUAUUGAUGGGGCAUUUGUGAAGAUCAAUGGUCGGCGAGGAUUGAAAUGCUGCUGAUUGAACACUUAAGUGUAGAUUGAGCUAGGUUUUUCAUAAGAAUUGGGGUGUUAUCUAGUGUGCAUGUCAAUAAUUAUUUUGUGUAAAUUUAUAGUGGGUAUAUUGGGGCUCUGAAAUUAUACAAUCCGAUACACACAAUAAGGGAUAUUUGCUUGGCUUAUGAGGAAGAAGCUUCAGUAGAUGUAAGCAUGUUUUUUUUUUUUUUACAAUCAGCGUAUUAUAGAUUUAAAUUUAUUCACUUUGAUUAUUUCUCUAUGCAGGCUUUUAGAAUUGAUGUCAGCCGACUCCAAAAGCUUAAUUACUAAGUAAGUAUCUCGUAUAUGACUGAUUGCAUCUCGAUUGCACAUGUCACUGAUACUGGCUUUUUCUUCCUGCAACAACUCCAUAGACUUCAAACCAAGGUGUUUAUGCUUAUUUCUUGGAGAUUCGACACUGUCAACAAAAUUUGGCAUACUUUUGUGGUUAAAUAAUGAAAAAUUGUUGCCAUUUGGGCUGCUUUUGCUUUUUGUCAUUUCAGGGAGUUUAAUAUGGUAUGCAAACGUACACUCUUAAGUUUUCAAUAAAGGAUAUCAAGACUUAUUUUUUACUAUAAUAUUUUUUGGCUCUAUUAAUUAAAAAAAUUGAUCAAAAUAUUUUAUAAUAAAUAAAAAUAUUAAAAUAAAUAUAAUAAUAUAUACAUUUUAAAAUAAUUUCAACAUCUAAAAAAUAUUUUAAUACUUUACAGUCUUAUAUUAUAUUAAACUAAAUCUUAUAAUAACUGCUNNNNNNNNNNNNNNNNNNNNCGUACAUCCGUCUUCGCCGUACAGCAGAUUCUAAUAUUAUUAGUCUGCUAGACAAAUUAAAGUAUUUGAAUUAUAUGUAUAUUUAUAAAAAAAAAUUUAAAGUCAAUUUUUUAGAUAUUAUCUAUAGAGGGUAUGAUAAUCAAAAGGAGGUUUUGAUGUCACUUAUUAAAAACUUUAAACUGUACAUAAUUAUUUUUCCAAACCUUAAGGGUGUAGAUAUCUUUUUCCUAACUUAUGCUAUACUAACAAUUAAUUAAAAGAAGAGAAAGGGAUGCAUACACUCCUAAAAUUUAGGAAAAUCAUCAUAAAAGCCCCAAAUUUUCAAAAAGAGAUAUUUAAAAUACUAUUAAAUUUUUAAAUUAUUUAUUUAUUUUAAUAAUAUAUUUGUAUUUAUUAUAAAUAUUUUAAAUAAAUCUUUGGCUUAAAUAAAUUUUACAAUUAACAAAAUAUCCUGCUGUACGGCCAAGGCGGAUGUACGGUACAGCAGUAUUUUCUAUUCAUUAUAAAAUUUUGAGAAUAAUUCUUUUAAGUUUAUAGAGUUAAAAGAUAUUAUAAUAAAAAAGAGUAUUAGUGUUUCUUAUUAAAAAUUUAAGGGUUUUUGAAAUUAUUUCUCGAAAAUUUAGAAGUACGUGUAAGUGUUAUUUUUCUUUAAAAGAAAGAAUAUAGAAUAUAUGUAGGAACAGUAACUGAUUAAAGUGCAUAUUAUGUCAUAUCGCACUAGUCCCUUUUGGUGUACGUUGAGAGAGAAAUAUGAACUGCCAUUUCCUUUCUGCGAGUAUUUGUCUGAAGAAGUCGAAUGGCCAUUAUUCGGGUUCCGGUUCUGAGGAGAGAGAACAGAGUCAUCGUGAUCGUCCUAGAAAGAUAAGACACCGGUAUAGUCCACAGCUAGCACAUGAUUCAUCAUGGCCAUGGCGAAGACUUUGUUAAACCUUAUUUUGCUCUUGGUCUUGAUGAUGCUUGUGCAGGUGAAUAUCUGAAAACUGUCAUCAUCGGGUGUGAAUGUGGUGGAAUAAAUCUUGUAUCAACUUUGAUCUUCUUCUUAAUAUUAGCCGCUGCUCUACCGCUCUUCUCGUUUUAGUUUCUGCAAGCGGGUAGAAUAAAUCUUGUAAGAAAACAAAAGUUGUCAGUUCUCGUAGUCUCAUCUGGCCAGGAGAAAUGUCAGGUGUGUGAUGAUGACUGUGAUCAGGAGGCUCUGGCUUUUCUUUAAUGAUUAUGCGAGGUGGUACUAAUUUCGUCGAUUUCCUUCUUUUCAUACUAAUU